UAUUUAUUAGAUAAAAAACCAAUGCCCUUCGGGGCUCCUUGGUGAAUCAUAAUAACUUAACGAAUCGCAUGGCCUUGCGCCGGCGAUGGUUCAUUCAAAUUUCUGCCCUAUCAACUUUCGAUGGKAGGAUAGUGGCCUACCAUGGUAUCAACGGGUAACGGGGAAUUAGGGUUCGACUCCGGAGAGGGAGCCUGAGAAACGGCUACCACAUCCAAGGAAGGSAGCAGGSGCGCAAAUUACCCAAUCCCGACACGGGGAGGKAGUGACAAUAAAUACUGAUACAGGGCUCUUUUGGGUCUUGUAGUUGGAAUGAGUACAAUUUAAAUCCCUUAACGAGGAACAAUUGGAGGGCAAGUCUAGUGCCAGCAGCCGCGGUAAUUCCAGCUCCAAUAGCGUAUAUUAAAGUUGUUGCAGUUAAAAAGCUCGUAGUUGAACCUUGGGCCUGGCUGGCCGGUCCGCCUCACCGCGUGUACUGGUCCGGCCGGGCCUUUCCUUCUGGGGAACCUCAUGCCCUUCACUGGGCGUGUUGGGGAACCAGGACUUUUACUUUGAAAAAAUUAGAGUGUUCAAAGCAGG
rnacentral:rRNA from 1 species